ACGUGCGGGGCGGGGCCUGCGUGGGGCUCGGGGCGCACGUGUCGCGGGAAAUGGAGUGGACACCGGGGGCUUCAGGGGAAGACAUCCAAACGACCGGGAGUCACGCGUGGACUCUUUCGCGCGAGGGCUUCUGGAAUCCAUUUUGUCCGUAGAGUGGAUAGAAGCCCCUGAAUCGUAUUUCUGGAGGCAGCCCUACCCAGCCACUGCCAGGAAAUUACCAAGCAUGUCCUGAAGAUGAAGAUACUCUCAGCCUAACGUCUCCAAGCAAAUAUUGAUUCAGCAGUAUCCCCAGGCAAAGCCACACCAUAUAUCAGUGAACAGAGAAACAACUGCCCUUCUCCGGGCCCCUGUCUGAGAAGCUGGAGCAUCAGCCCUGGAGCUCUCCGGAGCAGUUUCCUUGCUCACUGUCCCCAGCUGAACACAGGACCAGAGGGGAUACUGCCUGCUCAGGAAAGCCAAGAGGAGCCUGCUUCUCCUGAAAUGUAAAAAGUACACUGUGCAUAUGGAAAGCAUUAUUGUGUUUCACUGUGCAUCGCCAGAUUCUUCUUGCAAAACAUUGAAGCUUAGCUCAUAAUUUGGUGAUAAAAUAUUGAUUAUUUAUCCACAGCCGCAUGCAGAGGUCCAAAGCACGUAAACAGGAUACCCACCCUGCAUUAUCUUAUAUUUUAAGUCAAUAUGAAGAUGGACAUUCUACCCCUGAGACCAAUUUCGAUCAAAUACUUUUGUCAAUAAAAAGAUACUAAUGUC
rnacentral:lncRNA from 1 species